GAUGAACCUUCAGCCUCUGUCCCACUGAAUGCCAGGGGGCUGUCACAAUUACAGGAAAACCAAAAGUCUGCUACCUCCCAGACUCCUAGACACUCAAAGGUCACUUAGGGAGCAGCACCUGGGACACAAGCUCUGGAAGAUGAGGAAGGAUGAUGUAUUUAGGGUGGUCCUUGACAAGUGGGGUCUCAUCCAGAGGAAGGAAUCAGAAUGAUGAGGGAACUGAAAGAUCAUGGGAGGAACAGUUGGGUUUUGUUCUGUUUCUGGAAUCUCUCUUUUCCUAAUCAUCUCCAGACCGCUCCAAAUCCAACUCCUCUCCACUGGACAAUUGGACUCCACCACUGGAACCACCCUAGGCUUUGAGAGGAACUAAAUUGAUAGGAAAAAGAAACAUCUUCUGAGCCGAUAGUUUCCUUCAAAACCAUGUCGGUAAAACUCCCCAGAUUAAUAGAAUACAUCAGUCGCUGUAUUGUGAACAGGUAACAGGCUGAGGAAGGCAUCGGGGAGGAUGAUUAAGUUAAAAAGUGACUGCUGACCUCUCCCUCCAUCCUGAACCCCCCAACACAUACAGUUACAUACCUUCUGGGGACUGAAUGAUAACAGGAAAUGGUUGGUUAGUUAUAUCUUCCUUUGAAAAAUAAAAACAAAAACUUUUCACUGG
rnacentral:lncRNA from 1 species